ensembl:lncRNA
AUCGACUGUUUGAAAUUACACGGUAUUCAUUUGUUGCUAUUGUAAUGUCUGUCGUCUUCUAUUUCCCCUUCCCCAGCCCAAUGCCGAAACUCCCACACUCCGAUCCUCUUCUUUUCUUUUUAUUAAUCUUGGGAGAUAACUUCCUUAUUUUUAGCAGGCUGACACCACUAGGAGGACUAUGAUAGUGAGGAUCAUAAUAAGGACUUGCACACUUUCAGCUGGGGCUCAGUCACCACCCAUUGGAGUUUUCAACUAAGCCUCGGAGCCUUUGUCUCUGCCAGCAAAGAAAUGGCUGGCAAACGCCCCCACGGCUCCUGAGCUGCCUGGCUACUCUCAGCUCCCCAGUGUGAUUCUGCUAGACUGGAUGAUACUGAAAACCCGUCACCAGUCGUGCAGGCUGCUCUCCUAGAGCUCAGGAACAAGCUGAAGUCACAGGCCGUCACUUGGACUGAUGAACUGUGGAAACAAGUGGGAUCCAGCAUGCACUCAAUCAAGGUGGCUCCAUCGUCAUUAUGGCCAUCCACAACGUCACCAUCAUCAGUUUGCUGUGUAGGAAGAGACAGUCGCCUUUCAGGCAGUGAUUCUAAGCAUGAAGAGUCUGGGGAAGCACAUCGACGUGAAAGACCAAAUAGAGUGAGAGCCAACACAUCUCUCUGGAGAAAAUGGCCCCCGGGGGAACUGCCAGGUUGGAGAGUGAGGGUUGGGGAGGAAACGGGGAGGUUUUAUUUCUCACAACACGUCCUGUGCCCCUCCAGCCGAUACUUAAAAAGACCAGAAGCUCGUACACGUGGUGGGGAUAAAUUUUCGAAAAGUUCACUGACAGUGAGCUGAUACGCGCAAAAUGUUAAUUUCUUAAAGAUUUCUGAUGACUGGAUUUGCUUCUUCAUAUUGAGGCUCCAUUCUGACUGAUGCAGAAAAUUGAUCACAUCAAUUCCAGGUAAACCAGUCAAAUUCAGCAAUCUCGACAUGCUCCCCUAGAAGUGCCAAAAUGUCAUUUUAGGUUGACAGCCAAGCCCUUUCAGGGUAUUUCUCCCCUCCCCUUUCCUUCUUCCUGGGGUUGAUGUUCAACUGGCCGGGGCGGGGGGCGGUGCUUACACACCUAUAGCUGAAGCACCAGUAAGAAGUGGGCAUCCUUCUAUCUUGAUCUCAUUAGCCUGCUCUAGAAUAAUUAUUUCUCUUCUAGUUCUCGGCCGUGCCACCUCCCCCUGGAAAUCCAUUGAGAUAAAACCGCAUCCUCAUCCAGUCCUGGGGAUGGUCACCCAUGUCACCGCUGACGUGUUCCCCUCCUUUUAGCUCUGAGACUCCUUCCGGCUUUAUCAGGGCUCUCACUCCUUCUCCUUCUUAAAUUUCUGUUUCUAGUAGUAGGGGUGGGGCCUGAGAACUUUUAGUUGUUUUUAUGCUAAACUAUACUAAAAAUUAUUUGUUGUUUUUCUGAAAUUCAAGGGUAGCUGGGCAUUCUGCAUUUUAUCUGGCAACCCGACCUCCUGGGCUAGUGCAAAGCCACUGGGAACUCAGGGCACUGUCUCCACCCUCCCUCCCCACCGUAGGCAGGCCAUACCACCAUCCGACCUGAGUCUGCUGCAUUGUGCAAGCACAGGAGACUUCUCUGUGCAGAAAUAAACGAAGCCCGACCAAAUGGAAACAAGCAAAGGCUAUCUAUUCAGAGCUUGCUAUGAUGGGGGGGUCAGCCAUCAUCACUUGCAUUUUGGCAGAUACAGAGAGAGGUGGGAAAGCUUGAUAGUGGAAAAAGGAAAGGCUUCAGGUGUGCCCUGAUUGGAGGCUGUUGGCGUGGGGGGGCCAGAGGUGGGCUUACUAGAAGCAGGGCAUCCUAUGUGACUGGCUAGGAGCUCAUGGUUAGCUUUCUCUGGUUGGUCUUAAGUUGGAAGCAGGGACAAAAGUUAGGGAAGCUGUCAGUCAUUCAGUCCUGGUGUUGGGGCCCGAUUGUUACAGGGGUUACUGUUUGGCUUCCUGGACUGAUUGCUAGAGAUGGUGGUCUUACUUCCUGCAAGUCUGACUUGUAGAUAGCACACUGACUUCCUGGGCUGAGUACUAUAGAGGAUGGGUUGGUUUCCUGGCCUGGCUCUGCAGAGUGUGGGUCAGAGUUGUAUUUAUAUACGUGGUCUGGCCAUUGUCCAUUUGUACAUCCGGCAUCUCAUCUACAAGACUUGUCUUUCCCUGGACCUCACCAAGGCCUCUCCUCUCUCAGAUCUCCAGACUGAAUGAGGGGAGCCUGGCACAGGGUCACACACUUGCAUCUAACUCUGUCACGUAAUCUACAACUAUUCUCUCUUUCUUUUGUUUUAUUGAGUGGAGGGGCUAAGGGAGAGGAGGAAAAGGAAAGAAAGAAAGGAAGGAAGGAAGGAAGGAAGGAAGGAAGGAAGAAAGAAAGAACGAAAGAAAGAAAGAAAGAAAGACAUCCCUGCUUGGGGGCUGGCCCAGUGGUGC